rnacentral:snRNA from 1 species
AUACUUACCUGGUAUACCAGGGCUUCCUUGAUCACAGAGGACGAGCCCCCAGGGCGUGGCGCGGGCUCUGCACUGCGCUCGCUUUGACCCCUGCCACGACCCCAAACUGUGGCAGAUGGGGCAUGCAAGUUGC